CUCUACGUCAUCGCCCCAACCGCGAACUGCUGUAUUCCAGCCCCGACUUGUCCUGUUCCGAGAAGCGGCAAAGUGUGAACGGCGAGCGCGGUACCGAGAUGUCCCGAAGGAGGUCACCUGUCGACGAGGAGGAGAAUGACGACAUUAACGACAUCACGGAGGACUUUGAGGUUGAGCAAGACGAUGCAAACCGGCGUCAAAUCCGACAUCAGUACCGGGAGCUGAUGCAGAGCAUGCACCAGAACCGAGAAGACAUGCUGAGCUCCAGAAGUAACAAGCUCACGGACACUCUCCAUGCUGCCAAUCAGCUCUUUGCAGAAGUCUCCAAGCCUAGAGAAGCUGCACUCGAUGCUCAGUUACUCGUUUUGGCAACCAAUCUCGGGAAGGAAAAGGCCAAUCAGCUCCAAGCAGACAUGACGGUUUUCGACCCAACAUCAUUUUCUGAAGACCUGCUUUCAUUCAUGGGCAUAAAUCGGCUGGAAAAUCCAGACAGUGACAGUGAAGAUGAAGGUUGUGCCAAGGGGUAUCUUGGGGUGGAUGCCUGGCAAAAACUGGGAACUGAAGCCAAUAAAUUCUUCAAAAGAACACCUACCUUCCAUUUCAUGUUAGGCUCAUUUAAGACUGAACCUCCAGUUGCUCGGCAGAAGAUAGAGCGUCAAAAGAGGGCUAGUAAAGUCGCGGAGAAGAGCGUGAUGCCAUCGCAGCUGAAGAAAAUGGAAGAGUCUCACCAAGAGGCUACAGAGAAGGAAGUCGAAAGGAUUUUAGGGUUUCUGCAAACUUACUUCAGAGAGGAUCCGGAUAAUCCUAUAUCCUUUUUUGAUUUCGUAAUUGAUCCAAAUUCUUUUGCUCGUACAGUUGAGAACAUCUUUCAUGUCUCCUUUAUCAUUCGGGAUGGUUUUGCAAGAAUAAAGCUUGAUUCAGAUAAACUGCCAGUAAUAGGAAAUAGUUGAAACGUUUGAAAUUGAACAACCUAUGAUACCUCCCCCAUGAACAGCAAGACGGUCCAGCUUCAUGUUUUGAAAAAGUCUUUACCUUGCUAAAUAUCCUUUCUGUUAUUCAAAGCAUCUGUAAAUUGUUAUAAAUGUAAUAAAUGGCAAAAAUUUUAUUAUGUAUAUAGUUUGUACAUAUAUGUCAAAUAUUUUAUGAACCAUAUUGUAUGGCAUUUAUAUAGUUAAGAAAACGACCUUCUACCUGAAUGUUGCAAACAACUAUAUUUAUUUUACAUUUGCUACAAAAGUGUUUUAAUUUUUGUAAAUUCUAGGAACAUUUUGUAUUCUGAGUUUGAAAAUCCAAAUAAACAAGUUUAC